UGAACGCUGGCGGCGUGCUUAACACAUGCAAGUCGAACGAGAAAGGGAUUGCUUGCAAUCCUGAGUAGAGUGGCGCACGGGUGAGUAACACGUAGAUAAUCUACCUUCAAGUCUGGGAUAACUAUUCGAAAGGAUAGCUAAUACCGGAUAAAGUAGUUUGUCAUAAGACAGAUUAUGAAAGAUUGCCUCUUCUUGAAAGCAAUUGUUUGGAGAUGAGUUUGCGGACCAUUAGUUAGUUGGUGGGGUAAAGGCCUACCAAGACUGCGAUGGUUAGCUGGUCUGAGAGGAUGAUCAGUCACACUGGAACUGGAACACGGUCCAGACUCCUACGGGAGGCAGCAGUGAGGAAUUUUGCGCAAUGGGGGUAACCCUGACGCAGCAACGCCGCGUGAGUGAAGAAGGCCUUUGGGUCGUAAAGCUCUGUCAACAAGGAAGAAAUUAGUUAUGUUUAAUAGAUGUAGCUAUUGACGGUACUUGUGGAGGAAGCGCCGGCUAACUCC
rnacentral:rRNA from 1 species